rnacentral:rRNA from 1 species
GGACGAACGCUGGCGGCGUGCCUAACACAUGCAAGUCGAGCGAGGAGAUCCUUCGGGAUGAUCCUAGCGGCGGACGGGUGAGUAACACGUGGGCAACCUGCCUCAUAGAGAGGAAUAGCCUUCCGAAAGGGAGAUUAAUACCUCAUAACAUUGCAGUUUCGCAUGGAACAGCAAUUAAAGGAGCAAUCCGCUAUGAGAUGGGCCCGCGGCGCAUUAGCUAGUUGGUGAGGUAACGGCUCACCAAGGCGACGAUGCGCAGCCGACCUGAGAGGGUGAUCGGCCACAUUGGGACUGAGACACGGCCCAGACUCCUACGGGAGGCAGCAGUGGGGAAUAUUGCACAAUGGGGGAAACCCUGAUGCAGCCAACGCCGCGUGAGUGAUGACGGCCUUCGGGUUGUAAAGCUCUGUCUUCAGGGACGAUAAUGACGGUACCUGAGAGGAAGCCACGGCUAACUACGUGCCAGCAGCAGC